UACUCGAGUGGCGAACGGGUGAGUAACACGUGGGUGAUCUGCCCUGCACUUCGGAUAAGCUUGGGAAACUGGGUCUAAUACCGGAUAGGAACCAUCUUUAGUGUGGUGGUUGGAAAGUUUUUUCGGUGUAGGAUGAGCUCGCGGCCUAUCAGCUUGUUGGUGGGGUAAUGGCCUACCAAGGCGGCGACGGGUAGCCGGCCUGAGAGGGUGUACGGCCACAUUGGGACUGAGAUACGGCCCAG
rnacentral:rRNA from 1 species